UUUACUUUGUGUCUUCACAGUCGUAAAAAUGCCACUUAUACAAAAUUCAAACAGAGAAGGAGUCGAUAGAGAAAGAGAUAGAGAUCUCGUGUCACCAGUACAUGUAACCCUUCUUAAUGUAGUUAUUUCAAUCACAAACUUGUGUCUCGGUGGCGUAACUUUGAGUGCAUUAAUUUUUGUACACACAUUUGUAACGUCUACAUCGUUCAAGCAACAUGUGUAUCUGUGUGUUAUUGGAUACGUCAUCAUAAUGACACAGGCAGUCCUUUCACUGAACCCACACACUGGUUGGGCUCGGAUGGUUAAAUAUGAGAAUCGGAGAAUGGUUCACUGGACCCUACAAAUCGUUGGCACAAUUCUUGUAUCAAUUGGGAGUAUUAUACGGAUGUCGAAUGUCAGAACCAAUUUUAAUUCUACUCAUGGUAUACUUGGGAUCGUCGCAUUUGUCUCUACAAUACUCACCAUGAUCGGAGGGAUUGUCAACGCCAACUCUAGCAGACUAAACUUGAAUAAGACCUUCAUGACUCUAGCGCAUUCCUGUCUUGGAUCAUUGACUUUAUGUUCUGCAUUUCUUGCUUUAUGUUUUGCAUUCAAUUCAAUGUUCUAUAGAGUGGCUUUGGGUGAUAAAAGUGCUAAUUUCGGAAUAGCCCUCUCUGUCGUUGCGUUAGUUGGUACUUUAGUGUCGCCUAGUUUAGAUUUCGUCAAACGAAUAUUUCAUAGUAGAUAGAAUAUUAGUAACUAGAUAUAAAACUACUUUAUUAAUUUCGUUAUAUAAUUUAAAAACAGGUUGAUAUCCGAAAACCUUGUAACAAAGUAGCUUUUAUAAUAAAAAGCCUCUUAGUAACUUAAUUGUCAUCAGUUUAAAGCUCUUUUAAAUAAUCUGUGAAUAUCAUUUCUAAACGAUGACAGUCAACAGAUUCAGCACAAUUUGACAUCUUGUUCACACAGUGAAUGUUAAAUUGUAAUUUUAAACUUUUUGUUUUUUUGGAAAAAAUUUUUUGUUUAUCGUUUUUAUCGUAUGAUUUAAUUACAAAUCAUUUUUUAAAGGCGAUAAGCGAUGGCAUGUUAAGUAAUGGAAAAAUAGUUUAACAAUUUCUAGUAAUUGAGAUAGUCAUUUUUUUUUAAUUAGGUUUAAACUUAUAUCAAAGAUGCGGUCAAAGUAUGACAGACUAUUUAUAAAAAAAAACAAGCAUAUAUUAUAGCACUGAAAUAAGGAUUAAAUAAU